rnacentral:misc_RNA from 1 species
GAUGAAGAACGCAGCGAAAUGCGAUAAGUAAUGUGAAUUGCAGAAUUCAGUGAAUCAUCGAAUCUUUGAACGCACAUUGCGCCCCCUGGUAUUCCGGGGGGCAUGCCUGUCCGAGCGUCAUUACAACCCUCAAGCUCAGCUUGGUGUUGGGCCCCGCCGCCCCGGCGGGCCCUAAAGUCAGUGGCGGUGCCGUCCGGCUCCGAGCGUAGUAAUUCUUCUCGCUCUGGAGGUCCGGUCGUGUGCUCGCCAGCAACCCCCAAUUUUUUUCAGGUUGACCUCGGAUCAGGUAGGGAUACCCGCUGAACGUAAGCAUAUCAAUAAGCGGAGGA